AUGAACGCUAGCUACAGGCUUAACACAUGCAAGUCGAGGGGCAGCAUGGUCUUAGCUUGCUAAGGCCGAUGGCGACCGGCGCACGGGUGAGUAACACGUAUCCAACCUGCCGUCUACUCUUGGACAGCCUUCUGAAAGGAAGAUUAAUACAAGAUGGCAUCAUGAGUCCGCAUGUUCACAUGAUUAAAGGUAUUCCGGUAGACGAUGGGGAUGCGUUCCAUUAGAUAGUAGGCGGGGUAACGGCCCACCUAGUCUUCGAUGGAUAGGGGUUCUGAGAGGAAGGUCCCCCACAUUGGAACUGAGACACGGUCCAAACUCCUACGGGAGGCAGCAGUGAGGAAUAUUGGUCAAUGGGCGAGAGCCUGAACCAGCCAAGUAGCGUGAAGGAUGACUGCCCUAUGGGUUGUAAACUUCUUUUAUAAAGGAAUAAAGUCGGGUAUGGAUACCCGUUUGCAUGUACUUUAUGAAUAAGGAUCGGCUAACUCCGUGCCAGCAGCCGCGGUAAUACGGAGGAUCCGAGCGUUAUCCGGAUUUAUUGGGUUUAAAGGGAGCGUAGAUGGAUGUUUAAGUCAGUUGUGAAAGUUUGCGGCUCAACCGUAAAAUUGCAGUUGAUACUGGAUAUCUUGAGUGCAGUUGAGGCAGGCGGAAUUCGUGGUGUAGCGGUGAAAUGCUUAGAUAUCACGAAGAACUCCGAUUGCGAAGGCAGCCUGCUAAGCUGCAACUGUCAGUGAGGCUCGAAAGCGUGGGGAGCAAACAGGAUUAGAUACCCUGGUAGUCCACACGGUAAACGAUGAAUACUCGCUGUUUGCGAUAUACUGCAAGCGGCCAAGCGAAAGCGUUAAGUAUUCCACCUGGGGAGUACGCCGGCAACGGUGAAACUCAAAGGAAUUGACGGGGGCCCGCACAAGCGGAGGAACAUGUGGUUUAAUUCGAUGAUACGCGAGGAACCUUACCCGGGCUUAAAUUGCAGAUGAAUUACGGUGAAAGCCGUAAGCCGCAAGGCAUCUGUGAAGGUGCUGCAUGGUUGUCGUCAGCUCGUGCCGUGAGGUGUCGGCUUAAGUGCCAUAACGAGCGCAACCCUUGUUGUCAGUUACUAACAGGUUCCGCUGAGGACUCUGACAAGACUGCCAUCGUAAGAUGUGAGGAAGGUGGGGAUGACGUCAAAUCAGCACGGCCCUUACGUCCGGGGCUACACACGUGUUACAAUGGGGGGUACAGAGGGCCGCUACCACGCGAGUGGAUGCCAAUCCCCAAAACCUCUCUCAGUUCGGACUGGAGUCUGCAACCCGACUCCACGAAGCUGGAUUCGCUAGUAAUCGCGCAUCAGCCACGGCGCGGUGAAUACGUUCCCGGGCCUUGUACACACCGCCCGUCAAGCCAUGGGAGCCGGGGGUACCUGAAGUGCGUAACCGCGAGGAGCGCCCUAGGGUAAAACUGGUGACUGGGGCU
rnacentral:rRNA from 1 species